UGGGGAAUUUUGGACAAUGGGCGAAAGCCUGAUCCAGCAAUGCCGCGUGUGUGAAGAAGGCCUUCGGGUUGUAAAGCACUUUUGUCCGGAAAGAAAUCCUUGGCUCUAAUACAGUCGGGGGAUGACGGUACCGGAAGAAUAAGCACCGGCUAACUACGUGCCAGCAGCCGCGGUAAUACGUAGGGUGCAAGCGUUAAUCGGAAUUACUGGGCGUAAAGCGUGCGCAGGCGGUUUGCUAAGACCGGUGUGAAAUCCCCGGGCUCAACCUGGGAACUGCAUUGGUGACUGGCAGGCUAGAGUAUGGCAGAGGGGGGUAGAAUUCCACGUGUAGCAGUGAAAUGCGUAGAGAUGUGGAGGAAUACCGAUGGCGAAGGCAGCCCCCUGGGCCAAUACUGACGCUCAUGCACGAAAGCGUGGGGACAAACAGGAUUAGAUACCCUGGUAGUCCACGCCCCUAAAACGAUGUCAACUAGUUGUUGGGGGAUUCAUUUCCUUAGUAACGUAGCUAACGCGUGAAGUUGACCGCCUGGGGAGUACGGUCGCAAGAUUAAAACUC
rnacentral:rRNA from 1 species